GUUUUAUGUAAUUUUUAAAGAAAUAUUUAUUUUCCUUCAAAUGUAUGGAUUAUUUUUCUGCUGUAUCAAGUGGGCAUGGAAACAAAGCAAAGUUGGGAAGUUUUCAGAUUUGAAUCUUUUUAAAGUCAAAAGAUUUACUUUUCUCAUAUGCAUUUGAUUCAUUUUUAAAAUUCUCUUUGAUUUAUUCUUUCACAGAAAAACAAAAUCAUCUGUAGUCUCCAGUGUUUUUCCACUGCAUUUACCAUCUUAUAACUUUCAUCCUUUUACCCUUUCUCUCUGGAUUUUAGUCUAGUUUAGCAAGUAUUUUUUUCUUACUAGGAGCAAGCUUUGUUUUUCUCUGCUGCCUGCAUUUUCCUGUGCCUAUUCUUGUGCGUGCUUGAUUUUUCUCCCAAAUUUUUGGUGAACUCCUUUGUAAAUGAAGAAGAAUGUCCCGUUUUUAUUAGGGUCAAUUCUUUAACUGUACAAAAUGUUCUUUCACUUCAAAGUGUACCAGAGCCCUUGGUGACAAGCUGGGGGACCGACAGUGGAUUAAAACAAUGUGGCCUGAAUCUUCUGUGUUCUCUCUCCUCCCUGCAAGCUUCAGCUUUUCAGAUAACAUCCCUGCCACAUUUCAGGAGAAGCUGGUCGGAGAGACAGCUGUGUUAGUUUGAGAAGAGUGGGUUACAUAAUUUUCCCUUACAGUCCCACAGCUACUACCUUGGAAGUGGAACAGGACAGCAAGUGCAGUGAUUGCCAUUUCUCCCAGUGCCUGCUCUGCCUGCAGCCUUCGCAACCUGAAGUUUGUGCUCAUGACAGAAUUGCCUACACUUUUCUGUACUAAUUUUUUUCUGAAAUGCAUGACUUUUUCAAGAAAGGAAUUACACUCCAGCUUCCAGCUCAGAUCAAUUAUUAAUGUGUUUGUCCGGAAUUCACCAAAGUGUGUGCUGUGUGGUUGAGACCACUUUUAGGUUUCAGAAACUAUAAAGAUUUUUUUUAACCUCUUGGGAUUUCUGACCAUUCUGCUAUUUAGACCAAAUGUUUCUUGGAAAUUACUUUCUUUCUUAUUUGGAAGUAUAGUCACAUUCCAACAAUGCUUAAAACAAUUUGGUAUAAAAUCUAGCAUUUUUUUUAUUGGGAUUGAAAAAUCCUCAGGAAUUUCAAUCACUCCUCCCAAUGAUCCUUCUUUUAUUUAAUAAAUUUUAUUUUAGAAUAGCUUUAGAUUUGCA
rnacentral:lncRNA from 1 species